rnacentral:RNase_P_RNA from 1 species
CGGUCGCUGCCGAACAGCAGAGGAAAGUCCGGACUCCGCAGGGCGGGAAACCGGCCUCAACGGGCCGGGGGCGUCGGGCAAACCGACGUGACGGAAAGUGCCACAGAAACAAACAGCGAAGCCCCGAAAGGGGUCGUGAUGGUGAAAAGGCGGGGCAAGAGCCCACCGGCGCGCCUGAAACGACGCGUGUCAAGGCAAACCCUUUCUGGAGCAAGAUCAAAUAGGGAACCGAACGCGCGGCCCGCGCGGUUGGUCGGCAAAGUAGGUUGACCAUGAGGCUCCGGGUUGAUCGCUCAGAUGAAUGAUCGGAGUCCCUGCAAGGGGAUGAACAGAAUCCGGCUUAUUCGCCG